GCCGCCGCCGCCGCCGCCGCCGCCGCCGCCGCCGCCGCCAGCGAGGAGCGGGGCCUGCCGCUGGGUCGGGGCGUCCGCGCGAGUGCAAGCCGCGCGGGAGCGGGAGUCCUUGCGGGAGUCCGGGCGGGAGCCGGGCCGGGCGCGGUGGGCGCCGCCCGCCAUGGACCACAAGCCCCUGCUGCAGGAGCGGCCGCCCGCCUACAACCUGGAGGCCGGCCAGGGCGACUUCGCGUGCGGCCCGCACGGCUACGGCGCCAUCCCCGCCGCGCCCCCGCCGCCGCCCUACCCCUACCUCGUCACAGGGAUACCCACCCACCACCCCAGGGUCUACAGCAUCCACAGUCGAAAUGUCACCAGGUACCCUGCCAAUUCCAUCGUUGUCGUUGGAGGCUGCCCAGUCUGCAGAGUCGGGGUUCUGGAGGACUCCUUCACCUUCCUGGGCAUCUUCUUGGCCAUCAUCUUGUUCCCGUUUGGGUUCAUCUGCUGUUUUGCCUUGAGGAAGCGAAGAUGCCCCAACUGUGGAGCCAACUUCACUUAAAGGGAACAACACACCUGGCUUUCCUACAUCCAGCUGUCUUUUUCUAAUGUAAAUGUUGUGUACAGUAGCUUUAUUUGAUUAAGCUUUCAGGACUGUUUUGUAAAGCGAGGUGGGAUAGACGGCGUGAGCUGCGGUUUCAUGGUUUCAUGGGCGCAGGGGUCACAGCGUGGGGAUGCGGCAGCACUGCUCCGGGUGAAUGACAGCUCAAUAAAGCACUGCUUUUAUUUUUUUGCAGUCUUCAAUUUGAGAAAGGCAUACACAGCUCAAGAGAAUGUGCUUUCCAAAUUUUUAUUACUAUAACAAAACGUAAUACCUUGACAUGUACAGAGCAUGCACCUCCGUGCC